AACGCUGGCGGCAGGCUUAACACAUGCAAGUCGAGCGGGCGUAGCAAUACGUCAGCGGCAGACGGGUGAGUAACGCGUGGGAACGUACCUUUUGGUUCGGAACAACACAGGGAAACUUGUGCUAAUACCGGAUAAGCCCUUACGGGGAAAGAUUUAUCGCCGAAAAGAUCGGCCCGCGUCUGAUUAGCUAGUUGGUGAGGUAAUGGCUCACCCAAGGCGACGAUCAGUAGCUGGUCUGAGAGGAUGAUCAGCCACAUUGGGACUGAGACACGGCCCAAACUCCUACGGGAGGCAGCAGUGGGGAAUAUUGGACAAUGGGGGCAACCCUGAUCCAAGCCAUGCCGCGUGAGUGAUGAAGGCCCUAGGGUUGUAAAGCUCUUUUGUGCGGGAAGAUAAUGACGGUACCGCAAGAAUAAGCCCCGGCUAACUUCGUGCCAGCAGCCGC
rnacentral:rRNA from 1 species